rnacentral:rRNA from 1 species
UACGUAGGCAGCAAGCGUUGUUCGGAAUUACUGGGCGUAAAGAGCUCGUAGGCGGUUUGUUGCGUCGGCUGUGAAAUCCCGAGGCUCAACCUCGGGUCUGCAGUCGAUACGAGCAAACUAGAGUGUUGCAGGGGAGACUGGAAUUCCUGGUGUAGCGGUGAAAUGCGCAGAUAUCAGGAGGAACACCGGUGGCGAAGGCGGGUCUCUGGGCAACAACUGACGCUGAGGAGCGAAAGCGUGGGGAGCGAACAGG